rnacentral:rRNA from 1 species
GACGAACGCUGGCGGCGUGCUUAACACACGCAAGUCGAACGGAAAGGCCCUGCUUUUGUGGGGUGCUCGAGUGGCGAACGGGUGAGUAACACGUGAGUAACCCGCCCUUGACUUUGGGAUAACUUCAGGAAACUGGGGCUAAUACCGGAUAGGAGCUCCUGCUGCAUGGUGGGGGUUGGAAAGUUUCGGCGGUUGGGGAUGGACUCGCGGCUUAUCAGCUUGUUGGUGGGGUAGUGGCUUACCAAGGCUUUGACGGGUAGCCGGCCUGAGAGGGUGACCGGCCACAUUGGGACUGAGAUACGGCCCAGACCCCUACGGGAGGCAGCAGUGGGGAAUAUUGCACAAUGGGCGGAAGCCUGAUGCAGCAACGCCGCGUGCGGGAUGACGGCCUUCGGGUUGUAAACCGCUUUCGCCUGUGACGAAGCGUGAGUGACGGUAAUGGGUAAAGAAGCACCGGCUAACUACGUGCCAGCAGCCGCGGUGAUACGUAGGGUGCGAGCGUUGUCCGGAUUUAUUGGGCGUAAAGGGCUCGUAGGUGGUUGAUCGCGUCGGAAGUGUAAUCUUGGGGCUUAACCCUGAGCGUGCUUUCGAUACGGGUUGACUUGAGGAAGGUAGGGGAGAAUGGAAUUCCUGGUGGAGCGGUGGAAUGCGCAGAUAUCAGGAGGAACACCAGUGGCGAAGGCGGUUCUCUGGGCCUUUCCUGACGCUGAGGAGCGAAAGCGUGGGGAGCGAACAGGCUUAGAUACCCUGGUAGUCCACGCUGUAAACGGUGGGUACUAGGUGUGGGGUCCAUUCCACGGGUUCCGUGCCGUAGCUAACGCUUUAAGUACCCCGCCUGGGGAGUACGGCCGCAAGGCUAAAACUCAAAGGAAUUGACGGGGCCCCGCACAAGCGGCGGAGCAUGCGGAUUAAUUCGAUGCAACGCGUAGAACCUUACCCGGGUUUGACAUGGAUCGGGAGUGCUCAGAGAUGGGUGUGCCUCUUUUGGGGUCGGUUCACAGGUGGUGCAUGGCUGUCGUCAGCUCGUGUCGUGAGAUGUUGGGUUAAGUCCCGCAACGAGCGCAACCCUUGUUCACUGUUGCCAGCACGUUAUGGUGGGGACUCAGUGGAGACCGCCGGGGUCAACUCGGAGGAAGGUGGGGAUGACGUCAAGUCAUCAUGCCCCUUAUGUCCAGGGCUUCACGCAUGCUACAAUGGCUGGUACAGAGAGUGGCGAGCCUGUGAGGGUGAGCGAAUCUCGGAAAGCCGGUCUCAGUUCGGAUUGGGGUCUGCAACUCGACCUCAUGAAGUCGGAGUCGCUAGUAAUCGCAGAUCAGCAACGCUGCGGUGAAUACGUUCCCGGG